rnacentral:rRNA from 1 species
UACGUAGGUGGCAAGCGUUAUCCGGAAUUAUUGGGCGUAAAGCGCGCGCAGGUGGUUUCUUAAGUCUGAUGUGAAAGCCCACGGCUCAACCGUGGAGGGUCAUUGGAAACUGGGAGACUUGAGUGCAGAAGAGGAAAGUGGAAUUCCAUGUGUAGCGGUGAAAUGCGUAGAUAUCAAGUGGAACACCAGUGGCGAAGGCGAGUCCCUGGACAACUCCUGACACUGAGGCACGAAAGCUAGGGGAGCAAACAGG